rnacentral:rRNA from 1 species
AACGAACGCUGGCGGCAUGCCUAACACAUGCAAGUCGAACGAGACCUUCGGGUCUCGUGGCGCACGGGUGCGUAACGCGUGGGAACCUGCCCUUAGGUUCGGAAUAACUCCCCGAAAGGGGUGGUAAUACCGGAUAAUGUCUUCGGACCAAAGAUUUAUCGCCCUUGGAUGGGCUCGCGUUGGAUUAGCUCGUUGGUAGGGUAAAAGCCUACCAAGGCGACGCUGCUCAGCUGGUCUGAGAGGAUGAUCAGCCACACUGGGACUGAGACACGGCCCAGACUGCGACGGGAGGCAGCAGUGGGGAAUAUUGGAGAAGGGGCGAAAGGCUGAGCCAGCAAUGCCGCGUGAGUGAUGAAGGCCUUAGGGUUGUAAAGCUCUUUUACCCGGGAUGAUAAUGACGGUACCGGGAGAAUAAGCACCGGCUAACUCCGUG